UUCUUUCAAGGGAAAAAGUCUUUCUGUCUUCCCAAGUUGUUUUUUUUUUAAAUCAGUUUCAUCUCUUCUUGGUAGAGGAUGAAAUUUUUUUUGCUCAUGACUGUCCCACUUUUUUUUACCCCAAGCAAGCAAGUCAGGGUUUGCUUGAGUCUUUGUAUAUUCAUGAAAUACAUUUGUACUCGCCUGCUGACUGCUUUUACAUUUGUAUAUGUGUGCAGAAGGUAAUUGGCCAUUGUUUGUACCCCUUUUCUGCUCUAAUGUUUUAUUGUUGUUCCCAUUUGGAAGCGUUAAUUUUUCUGAUGGAGUGAAUCAUUUUACACGGAGGUGUGAAUCAGCCCUAUUGACGGUGCCUGCAUGACCUUCCCUCCCUUUUGAUGAUGCGUAAAAUCCAUUUCAUUCAGACUUCUAUUGAAGUUCUAAUGUCUGCUUUGAUAAAGAAUGGGGGUAAUUAUCACCAUGAAAAAUGGCUAUUAUAUGCCCCUACAUAAUGUCCUUGGUCAUAUAUACUUGAGGUUUAUUGUACCAUCUUUAUCUUACAUUCUAGCAAUAUAAGGAAUCAUGAAAUAUUGAAGCAAUGAUUGAAGGUCUUGAGGUACAUUUUUCGAGGUAGGGGAGCAUAAUGUUGUUAAUUCGAGCAAAGAGGUUCUAUUCUCUAUCAAACCUCUUGCUUCUAGAAAAUAAAUUGCUCU